AGCCUUUGCACACUUACGUGGAUAUCAGCCUUUUCUCUCUUAUUUUUUUUUCCAUUCCUGAACCACGCGUUUUACCCCUUCAGAUGACCAUUUUGCAUUUUGUAUUUGAGAAAGAGAAAUCCCGCCACGUUGCCCAGCACCGACUUUGAAAUCACCGUCGCCGUCCGUCUCUUCACCCAGCACGGUCUUUGAAAUCGCCGUCGCAAGUCCCUCUCGUUGCCCAGCACACACUAGUUGUCAGCCUCCUUCUACCCAGUGCCACCCAGCCUGAGGUAACUCCACUGCUCUGUUUCGCCGCCUAGCCUGAAGAGCGACCAGCUCUGUUUCGCCGCCCAUCUUUCAGCAACUCCACUGCUCCUUUGUUUUGAUUUUUUUUUUUUUGUCACAAUGUUUUUGCGUAUUCUCAUUAGAGGGUCAUGAUUUUUUUAUGUCCAGAUUAUUUCUUUUGUAUUAUAUGUGAACAUGUUGUGAAGGCAGAUGACGUUGUCAGUCCAGAGGUAGAAAAGUUGGUGCCUUCACUUCAAGGUAGUGUUCUUCCUCUUGAAAAUGUGAGGUUUUACAAGGAGGAAGAAAAGAUUAUAUAUAUAUAUAUAUAAUUAAACAAGGAGGAAGAAAAGAAAGACCCUGACCUUUCAAAGAAGCUCGCCUUCUUAGCUGAGCUUUAUGUGAAUGACAACUUGGAGCUACACAUCGAGCUCAUGCAUCAAUUAAAGUGGUUACAAAAUUCUUGAAGCCAUCUGUUGCUGGUUUCCUAUUGCAGAAGAACAAGAAACGGUGGCAACAUCUAUUGGUGCAUCAAAGAAGAGUAAUUUCUAUGGAAGAUAUUCUGCUGCUUCCAUUGAUGGUGAUGGUGAGAGGAAGUGGGGUUCUACCGGAAAUAUUGGCCAAGCAGUUUCUAAUGAAACUAAUAAGAACCUAUUUUAGAGUUUUGAUGCAAGCUCUAAUGCUAACAUUGUUGAUUCCAAAACCAAGGAGCUAUCUUACACUGUCAAUCCUAUGGGUCAGCAUUUGGGCUCGUGGUCUAGCCAACUAGAAAAUUUUGACAAUAGUGAAAGCAUAGAAGGUUUGUCUACUCGUCUGGAUGUUAAUGGUCUGAUGAAGUCAUACCUGUUGGGGUUUUCAGAAGCCUUGGGCCAUUCUAAUGAAGCUCUAACAGCAACAGAGUUGGACCUUAACCAAUACAAACCAAAAGCUCUUGAUAUUAUCCCUAUGCCAAAUGCAAGACCAAACAUUCCUCAAAUUCUUCAUCUGUACUUCAAUCAGAUUCUGACAGUUGCUAAGCAUGCAUUGAUUGUAAGUGAUUGUAAGGGGGAAAUAAAAGAGAAAUGAGACGUGUAAUAUACAAAAAACAAUAUUUGUUUACUUUGCAUUUCAUUUGCUAUAAUAUUUAUGAGAUGAAUGAAAAGUAAGCUUAGAUCUGUAUAUCCAAA